rnacentral:rRNA from 1 species
UACGGAGGGGGCUAGCGUUGUUCGGAAUUACUGGGCGUAAAGCGCACGUAGGCGGCUUUGCAAGUUAGAGGUGAAAGCCCGGGGCUCAACUCCGGAAUUGCCUUUAAAACUGCAUCGCUAGAAUUGUGGAGAGGUAAGUGGAAUUCCGAGUGUAGAGGUGAAAUUCGUAGAUAUCGGAGGAACACCAGUGGCGAAGGCGGCUCACUGGCUCGGUACUGACGCUGAGGUGCGAAAGCGUGGGGAGCAAACAGG